rnacentral:rRNA from 1 species
AUGAACGCUGGCGGCGUGCCUAAUACAUGCCAGUCGAGCGAACGGACGAGAAGCUUGCUUCUCUGAUGUUAGCGGCGGACGGGUGAGUAACACGUGGAUAACCUACCUAUAAGACUGGGAUAACUUCGGGAAACCGGAGCUAAUGCCGGAUAAUAUUUUGAACCGCAUGGUUCAAAAGUGAAAGACGGUCUUGCUGUCACUUAUAGAUGGAUCCGCGCUGCAUUAGCUAGUUGGUAAGGUAACGGCUUACCAAGGCAACGAUGCAUAGCCGACCUGAGAGGGUGAUCGGCCACACUGGAACUGAGACACGGUCCAGACUCCUACGGGAGGCAGCAGUAGGGAAUCUUCCGCAAUGGGCGAAAGCCUGACGGAGCAACGCCGCGUGAGUGAUGAAGGUCUUCGGAUCGUAAAACUCUGUUAUUAGGGAAGAACAUAUGUGUAAGUAACUGUGCACAUCUUGACGGUACCUAAUCAGAAAGCCACGGCUAACUACGUG